UGCAUGCUUUACUUUGAAAUUUCAGAUUUC
rnacentral:piRNA from 1 species